CAUGCAAGUCGAACGGCAGCACGAGAGAGCUUGCUCUCUUGGUGGCGAGUGGCGGACGGGUGAGUAAUAUAUCGGAACGUGCCCAGUAGCGGGGGAUAACUACUCGAAAGAGUGGCUAAUACCGCAUACGCCCUACGGGGGAAAGGGGGGGAUCGCAAGACCUCUCACUAUUGGAGCGGCCGAUAUCGGAUUAGCUAGUUGGUGGGGUAAAGGCUCACCAAGGCAACGAUCCGUAGCUGGUUUGAGAGGACGACCAGCCACACUGGGACUGAGACACGGCCCAGACUCCUACGGGAGGCAGCAGUGGGGAAUUUUGGACAAUGGGGGAAACCCUGAUCCAGCCAUCCCGCGUGUAUGAUGAAGGCCUUCGGGUUGUAAAGUACUUUUGGCAGAGAAGAAAAGGUAUCCCCUAAUACGGGAUACUGCUGACGGUAUCUGCAGAAUAAGCACCGGCUAACUACGUGCCAGCAGCCGCGGUAAUACGUAGGGUGCAAGCGUUAAUCGGAAUUACUGGGCGUAAAGCGUGUGUAGGCGGUUCGGAAAGAAAGAUGUGAAAUCCCAGGGCUCAACCUUGGAACUGCAUUUUUAACUGCCGAGCUAGAGU
rnacentral:rRNA from 1 species